UCCUCUUUGUCGCCUGUAGUUCAAGCAGCU
rnacentral:piRNA from 1 species